UACGUAGGGGGCUAGCGUUGUCCGGAUUUAUUGGGCGUAAAGAGCGUGUAGGCGGCCCGGUAAGUCCGCUGUGAAAGUCGGGGGCUCAACCCUCGAAUGCCGGUGGAUACUGUCGGGCUAGAGUGCGGAAGAGGCGAGUGGAAUUCCUGGUGUAGCGGUGAAAUGCGCAGAUAUCAGGAGGAACACCGAUUGCGAAGGCAGCUCGCUGGGACGUAACUGACGCUGAGACGCGAAAGCGUGGGGAGCAAACAGG
rnacentral:rRNA from 1 species